UGGGGAAUAUUGGGCAAUGGGCGAAAGCCUGACCCAGCAACGCCGCGUGAGUGAUGAAGGCCUUCGGGUUGUAAAACUCUUUGGACAGGGACGAAGAAAGUGACGGUACCUGUAGAACAAGCCACGGCUAACUACGUGCCAGCAGCCGCGGUAAUACGUAGGGGGCUAGCGUUGUCCGGAAUCACUGGGCGUAAAGGGUUCGCAGGCGGAAAUGCAAGUCAGGUGUAAAAGGCAGUAGCUUAACUACUGUAAGCAUUUGAAACUGCAUAUCUUGAGAAGAGUAGAGGUAAGUGGAAUUUUUAGUGUAGCGGUGAAAUGCGUAGAUAUUAAAAAGAAUACCGGUGGCGAAGGCGACUUACUGGGCUCAUUCUGACGCUGAGGAACGAAAGCGUGGGUAGCAAACAGG
rnacentral:rRNA from 1 species